rnacentral:rRNA from 1 species
UACGAAGGGGGCUAGCGUUGUUCGGAAUUACUGGGCGUAAAGGGCGCGUAUGCGGCUCAUGAAGGCUGUGGUGAAAGUCCGGGGCUCAACCUCGGAUCGGCCGUGGCGACUCGUGGGCUGGAGCACUGUAGAGGCGGGUGGAAUUCCGGGUGUAGCGGUGGAAUGCGUAGAGAUCCGGAAGAACACCAGUGGCGAAGGCGGCCCGCUGGGCAGUGGCUGACGCUGAGGCGCGACAGCGUGGGGAGCAAACAGG